AUUUUACUGGAUGAUCAGGGAAAUUCGAAAAGCUUUCGCUUUUUUGGAAGAGACGUUGCAUGGUCAGGAUUAGUUCGGACCUUGUGUUUUAUU
rnacentral:tRNA from 1 species